rnacentral:rRNA from 1 species
GACGAACGCUGGCGGCGUGCUUAACACAUGCAAGUCGUACGAUGACCCGGCUCUUCGGAGCUGGUGAUUAGUGGCGAACGGGUGAGUAACACGUGGGUGACCUGCCCUGCACUCUGGGAUAAGCCCGGGAAACUGGGUCUAAUACUGGAUACGACCAGUGGCCGCAUGGUCUGCUGGUGGAAAGCCCUUCUGGGUGGUGUGGGAUGGGCCCGCGGCCUAUCAGCUUGUUGGUGGGGUGAUGGCCUACCAAGGCGACGACGGGUAGCCGGCCUGAGAGGGUGUCCGGCCACACUGGGACUGAGACACGGCCCAGACUCCUACGGGAGGCAGCAGUGGGGAAUCUUGCACAAUGGGCGAAAGCCUGAUGCAGCGACGCCGCGUGAGGGAUGACGGCCUUCGGGUUGUAAACCUCUUUCGGCAGGGAACAAGCCUGGGGGUUUUCUUCUGGGUGAGGGUACCUGCGGAAGAAGCACCGGCUAACUACGUG